CAAACUGGUCCCGGUCCUCUGACAUGUCCAGCGGGGGGGUCCUGAGGGGCUUCGUCGCGCGCAGGCUCGCCGCCGCCUCGCGGGAGGUCCUCGCGCUCGUGGACCGAAUCGUAGCCGGAUACGAGGAGGAGGCGUCGGGCUUCAGGCGGGAGAUCCGGCGGCAGGAGGAGCAGCUGGAGCUCCUGCGGGGCGAGGCGGCUCGCUGCGCGGCAGAAGAGCUGAUCCAGCUGUGAGGAUUUGGCAUAUUUGCGGUCAAAAUAAAGCACAUCGCACAUUCUCCUAAAACAUCCAGAUGUGAGCAGCAGCGGGAUUCUCGGGCCUCUUGAGGAGGAAGAUGAUGAAGUGGAGGAGCAGCCGGAGAACCUUGAAGACUCCACAGACGAAGCUCCAUCGAGAGAGCCGCAUCCGCAGCGCCAGCCAGGCAGACCUCAGAUCAGCGACGCACAGAACCACCUGGACCUCCGGAUCCGGAUCCUGGAGGACUCUCGGGCCGACGUGCUCUCGACCGGCG
ensembl:lncRNA